rnacentral:piRNA from 1 species
ACUGACUGCUCUUCCAGAGGUCC